UACGUAGGGGGCAAGCGUUGUCCGGAUUUAUUGGGCGUAAAGAGCGUGUAGUCGGCUAUACAGGUCCGCUGUGAAAACUCGAGGCUCAACCUCGAGACGUCGGUGGAAACCGUAUGGCUAGAGUCCGGAAGAGGAGAGUGGAAUUCCUGGUGUAGCGGUGAAAUGCGCAGAUAUCAGGAAGAACACCCGUGGCGAAGGCGGCUCUCUGGGACGGUACUGACGCUGAGACGCGAAAGCGUGGGGAGCAAACAGG
rnacentral:rRNA from 1 species